AGUGAACGCUGGCGGUAGGCCUAACACAUGCAAGUCGAACGGCAGCACAGUAAGAGCUUGCUCUUACGGGUGGCGAGUGGCGGACGGGUGAGGCAUACAUCGGAAUCUACUUUUUCGUGGGGGAUAACGUAGGGAAAUUUACGCUAAUACCGCAUACGACCUACGGGUGAAAGCAGGGGAUCUUCGGACCUUGCGCGAUUGAAUGAGCCGAUGUCGGAUUAGCUAGUUGGCGGGGUAAAGGCCCACCAAGGCGACGAUCCGUAGCUGGUCUGAGAGGAUGAUCAGCCACACUGGAACUGAGACACGGUCCAGACUCCUACGGGAGGCAGCAGUGGGGAAUAUUGGACAAUGGGCGCAAGCCUGAUCCAGCCAUACCGCGUGGGUGAAGAAGGCCUUCGGGUUGUAAAGCCCUUUUGUUGGGAAAGAAAAGCAGCAGGUUAAUACCCCGCUGUUCUGACGGUACCCAAAGAAUAAGCACCGGCUAACUUCGUG
rnacentral:rRNA from 1 species